CUGGAGGCUGGAACAGAGCAAUGUGCUAGACUUAGGGUAUAUUUGAUCUACUAGAAGAAAUUGUAUCCCAAAAUUUUAAAGA